UGCAGGUCACGGCCAGGGGUCGAACCGGCGACCCCUGCGGCGAGGACCACAGCCUCUGUACAUGGGGCGCCUAGACCGCUAGGCCACCAGCGCCCCGUCGAUACCCUAUACUUGAUAGUGCUCUCUCUUUAAGAGUAUGCUGUGUGUUGACAUGGCUGCCAAUCUGAACAGAGCCUCCUGUAAAUGUAAUUAUACAUCUGAUUGAUUUUAAUGUUUGUAUGUUUGAUCCAAGCCUUAAGCAAUCUAUUUUUUUUGACCCUGUGAUAAAUCUAUUGGCUAGCUCGCUUGUAAUCAACCUUUUUUCAAGUGAAAUAUUCUUCUACAAUCAACCUAAUAGAAGUCCUGUGGCUCCACAUGACAGCGGGAGCUAUUUGGUUCACCGGGUUUCCGUGGGAGAUUCAGCCGGGUGUCAUCAGCAUCGCGGCUAAACAAAACGUUAUGGAUUAUGCGGCCGAGUGGGAGUGUGAGGAGGAGGAUGAGUUGGUUAUUGAGAAAGCUGAAUUGGAAAGGUAGGAGUUGAGGCUUUCCAAAGCUGGAUUUGGGUUGACAGAGCAUAGAAAUCUGGUGUUCUGUGUUCUCAGCAGCAGCAGGGUGAAGCAAUGGGGGUGCUGCCAAGGGUUUAUUGAUAUUUUAAGGUGAAGCAGUGCGGAUGAAAAUAGUGAUUCUUGUUUCAGUUUGAGAUAUGAUAAUGGUUUCUUGCUUUUGUAGCUACAGUAGUCCCAUGAAAUAUUACACAAGCACCAAUACCUGCUGUGUCAGGUAUGUAAAACAGCAACUGUAACACUAAGAAGGUUCCGUUUCGUGUCCAUAUUCAAGAUUCUUUCUUUGUUCCCCCACCGCGCCUUAAUGUGAUGUCAGGUAUUACAACACUGAGAUCGUGAUAAUGUUGUCAAGAGAUUGAGUUGCUGCUGUAAUCUUCUAUUAAUAUGUCUUCAAACGCAAAGGUGCCCGUGUGUGAGGCAGCGAUUCAUGCUUUUGUGUGGGUGUAACAAAGCUAAUCCUCUGUGUGUGAAGAUGUACCUGCUGCUGGGUAAUUCCUCUGGUGUGUGUUCUUGCCCUCCUCUACCGUCUUCUCCUUUCUUUGAAUUAGCCUCUCAUUAAUUUGACAAAUACUCAAUCACACGGCGCACAUUGCAGCACAACCGACACUGAAUGGCAGAGUAAUAUUCAGCUGUUAAUGUAUUACUGUUUAUACAAUACACUUAUUUAAAGCCAUCUUUAUUUAUUUGCUCUGUAUGUUUGCUGGUUGUAUCAUCUCGUUACACUCUUAUUAUUCUCCAUAGCUGAACCAAGCUAAAUUCCCAGUAGAGGUAAUUCAAAUUUAGUCUGAACUUGUCUAUUAUGACAUCUAUUUCACACAUUAAAACAUACUGUAAUACAUCUUCUGAUAUUGUAUUUUAGUGAUCAGAUCAUUUGGCUCAGCUCCCAAAUGACUCUCUGUGACCAUUUUGGCUUUUAUUGAGCAAGACAUUUGUCCCAAUGUUUAGACCAAUGACUAAUAUGUGUGCAUGUAUUUUCCUUAAGUAUUUGUAAUUAUAAUAAGCAGUGUCAUCACCAGAUAACAGUAUUUUACAUGAUGUAAAAUCAGCCGGCUGAUAUCGUUCACAUACAAGAGCAGGCUUUUAGAAACGAGUAGUUUGCAACCAACAGGUCACUAUUUGAGACAGACUGAAGUGCCAUGAAGGUAGGUCCACCCCCCAUCACUUACUUUAACUCUCCCUGUCCCAUUAAAGUUACUAACCAUAGACCUGUCCCUGUGCUCCCUUGUCUCGUAGGUCCUCUGAUUCACUGCUGCAGACGUGCCGGACUCCAGCUGCUGCAGACGUGCCAGACUCCAGCUGCUACAGACGUGCCGGACUCCAGCUGCUGCAGAUGUGCCGGACUCCAGCUGCUGCAGACGUGCCAGACUCCAGCUGCUACAGACGUGCCGGACUCCAGCUGCUGCAGACGUGCCGGACUCUAGCGGGUGAACGCCGAGAAAGCUCUCACUUCUCCAGUUUUCCCUGUCGGUGGUGACAGCUGGAAGAAGACAGGACAUGGCAUCUGAAGCAUCUUUCUUCAACCAAUAAUGUUCUUAUCAUUCGGGGUUGAGCUUUCACAAUGGGCUGGAUGCCGGUGAGGUGGACCUGGUGCUGACUUAUGCUGGUGUGCAACUUCCAGUGGACGAUGAGGCAGAGUGCUGAGGUGGAGAACAUGAUGACGUCAGUGGAGAGAGUGGUGGAGUACACAGAGCUGGAGAGCGAAGCACCCUGGGAAACCCAGAACAUUCGACCAGGUCAGCUUCUCGUACAGCCGGGAUGGAUCCACAGUCCUCAAAGACAUCAACACCACCUUCCAACCUAACAAGAAGGUGGGGAUUGCAGGGAGAAGCUCCCUGGUGUUCCCAGGCUGGCAGAGCCUCAGGGGAGGAUCUACAUCGAUGGCGUUUUGAUGUCUGAGAUCGGCCUCCACAACCUGCGCCAGAGGAUGUCCAUCAUCCCUCAGGACCCCGUGCUGUUCACUGACACCGUGAGGAAAAACCUGGACCCGUUCAACCAGCAAACUGAUGACGACCUGUGGCGAGCUCUAGAGGAGGC